CCGCCGAUCAAACUUCCCCAAGCCAUUAUCGGCUGAUAGCGAUCGGUAGCUGAUCAAUCGGAGCACCCCUAUUGAUUACUUGUGCACAUCCCUAAUAUAGACAAUAUUGAUUAGUGUAUACACAACUUUUUUGCUUGUAUUUUCAGGGCACAGUGACCGAGGAGAAGUCACAAGCCACCCACCAAAUAUAUACAUUACCCUCCACAGCAGAUGAAGAAGAGUGGCUUAGACCGGUCAUGCGAUUGGAUCAGCAAGUGAUGGUACAUUGGGGCAUGUGUCCAGACAGUUAUGACUUGCUUAUAUCGGCAAGUGAUGUAGAUGGAGAAGUAGAGGAACCUCCCAACCCAGAC